AGUGAACGCUGGCGGUAGGCCUAACACAUGCAAGUCGAACGGCAGCACAGUAAGAGCUUGCUCUUACGGGUGGCGAGUGGCGGACGGGUGAGGAAUACAUCGGAAUCUACUUUUUCGUGGGGGAUAACGUAGGGAAACUUACGCUAAUACCGCAUACGACCUACGGGUGAAAGCAGGGGAUCUUCGGACCUUGCGCGAUUGAAUGAGCCGAUGUCGGAUUAGCUAGUUGGCGGGGUAAAGGCCCACCAAGGCGACGAUCCGUAGCUGGUCUGAGAGGAUGAUCAGCCACACUGGAACUGAGACACGGUCCAGACUCCUACGGGAGGCAGCAGUGGGGUAUAUUGGACAAUGGGCGCAAGCCUGAUCCAGCCAUACCGCGUGGGUGAAGAAGGCCUUCGGGUUGUAAAGCCCUUUUGUUGGGAAAGAAAAGCAGCAGGUUAAUACCCCGCUGUUCUGACGGUACCCAAAGAAUAAGCACCGGCUAACUUCGUG
rnacentral:rRNA from 1 species